rnacentral:antisense_RNA from 3 species
CAUUUUCGGUGACGGCUUCUCGUGAAAGCUAGUUACCACGAUUGAACCGUUCUAGUAAAACUGUUCAAUCUUGAAUAAAACCGCCCCUGCAAGGGUGGUUUUUUUCU